rnacentral:rRNA from 1 species
CGGCGGACGGGUGAGUAACACGUGGAUAACCUACCUAUAAGACUGGGAUAACUUCGGGAAACCGGAGCUAACACCGGAUAAUAUUUUGAACCGCAUGGUUCAAAAGUAAAAGACGGUCUUGCUGUCACUUAUAGAUGGAUCCGCGCUGCAUUAGCUAGUUGGUAAGGUAACGGCUUACCAAGGCAACGAUGCAUAGCCGACCUGAGAGGGUGAUCGGCCACACUGGAACUGAGACACGGUCCAG